rnacentral:rRNA from 1 species
UACGGGGGGGGCAAGCGUUGUUCGGAAUUACUGGGCGUAAAGGGCGCGUAGGCGGUUCGCUAAGUUGGAUGUGAAAACUCUGGGCUCAACCCAGAGCCUGCAUCCAAAACUGGCGGGCUAGAGUUCUGGAGGGGGUAGCGGAAUUCCUGGUGUAGCGGUGAAAUGCGUAGAUAUCAGGAGGAACACCGGUGGCGAAGGCGGCUACCUGGACAGAAACUGACGCUGAGGAGCGAAAGCCAGGGGAGCAAACGGG